UGUGAACAGAGACACAGGGCUGAGGCUGACUGAGCCCGGGCAGUGUGGCAGCCGCCCGGGUGAGCGGCGCCCGGCCCAGGGGCUGUGGCUAAGGUGGGCGCCGGCAGUUAGGGAGAGGACGCACGAGGGCUGCGCGGACUUUCAGCUCUUGUCUGAGACGCGGGCAAGGGUGGCCAGGAGCCUAGGAAUGAAAUCUAAGUUCCGUGGAGCUUGGAGCCCCUAGACAGCCAGCCCCGUCAGGGCGGAGGAGAGCCCUCCGCGGUCCGAGCUCGAGCGUGGAGCGGCCUCCGGCGCUCGCUCUGGAGGGAUAGAAGCCCGCGAAGGGGGUCCCGCGGCGCUUUUGUACUGCCCCGCCUAAGCCAGCCGCGAUCUGACGCACCUGCUCCCCCGGGACGCUGGGGGCGUCGCACUGCAGCUGGGUGGGGAGCAAUGUAUUCCUCGCCGUCCCAUCCCAGCCCGUCUUCGGUUACUCCACCCUACCCCUCCCCUCCCUCCUCCUCCUCUACCUACGCCUUCACUACCUCUGAUUCUCCACCUCCUCUACAUCCUCCAUCCCCCUUCUACUUCUGUCUCCCCCUCUCUCUCCUCCCUCCCGCCUCCCUUCCGUCUCCCCUCCCUCGCGUCUCUGAAUAAGCAAGCUUUUGCCUCUAAAAGUCACAAGUAAUCCUCGUGUGUGACAGAGGGGAGAGAGAGGGAGAGAGAGAAGGAGAGGGAGAGGGAGAGGGGGAGAGAGAGAGAGAGAGAGAGAGAGAGAGAGAGAGAGUCCGCCGAGAGGAGCAGCAGGCAGAAGGAGAAUCUGGCACAACGGCUGGGAGAGGAAACUUGACGCUUCAGGGCCACCAUUUGCCAGGGCCUUACUCGAGACGCCGAAAGGAGGCUGUUUAUGUACUGCGGCUGCCCUGUGAUUCUGGAUCUUGUCUUCUGGCCGGCGCCUCGAUUCCUGCCCAGCUGGAUUGGGGGGCAACACUGCCUGGCGCAGGGACGAGAGCGAAUGAGACUACAAAGAAGCAUAAAAUGAAUAGACAAUCCAACCAACCAAAGAGCCGGGGCAGCAGCACGCCAGCAAGACGGCAUCUUCUCCUCCCCAGCCUAGAAGCCCUGUGAAAUCGAGGAUCUUCCCCCUAAAACACACACACACAAGAUAUGUGCAAUCAAGCUGCCACCGCUUGGUAAAAAGCUCAUGGUGCCUUACCCAAAAGGAUCCGGAGCAGAUCCUUGAAUCAGCUGUCACUUCUUCUAUAGAAUGGGAUUUUUUUUUUUUCCCUUCCUCUUUAACCUGCGCUGGAAAUUGCCGUUGGCUUUAUACGUCUCUAUAGAGGGAGGCUAAAGAGUCUUGCGUGAGAAGGAAGCAAUUUACAAUGCAAAUAGAGGCCUGUGAAGGGACGGAUGCUGCCGCUCGCUCUUUAACCGCUUGCUGCACCUUAAUAGCUGGCUUUAUUUUCUGAUAUUAAUAGAUGAAUUGUUGGCUAACGCUGCCGGAGAUUACUUGCUGAAGGAAAAAAAAAAAAAGUUCGGAAUAAACUUUGAAAGCAACAGCUCUCGUUUGGAUGUCUAGCCGCACACACAGACAGAAGCCAGGUCAUAUUUACAUACAAGGAGGAAUCUUUUGCGCGGCAAAGUAUCCUGGAGGACUACUUACUCUUCGGUGCUGCCAGAAAGAUGUGGAUCUGGAGUCUGGGCAGAAGAAGACAGAGGCUGUGAGGGAAGCGAGUUGUUAUCUUUGGUUAUCUAGCUGUAUGAGUGUAUUGGUCUUCAUAAAGCUAGAUAACCGAAAGUAAAAACUCCUUCAAGAUCGCCGGGGAGCGUGUGAGAAUGAACUGCAACCGAGAGACAGUAAAAAGCAGAAAGGUCAGGAAUACUUAUUGAAUCUAACUUUGUUUCUGUGUUUGUUUUUCCCUUAUGACGAAAGGUGGGAUUAGAGGAAA